GAUGAACGCUGGCGGCGCGCCUAACACAUGCAAGUCGAACGAUUAAAGCACCUUCGGGUGUGUAUAAAGUGGCGAACGGCUGAGUAACACGUGGGCAACCUGCCCCUCUCAUUGGGAUAGCCACGGGAAACCGUGGAUAAUACCGAAUACUUCGGGACUUCCGCAUGGAAGACUCGAGAAAGCUCCGGUGGAGAGGGAUGGGCCCGCGGCCUGUUAGCUUGUUGGUGGGGUAAUGGCCUACCAAGGCAAUGAUGGGUAGCUGGGUUGAGAGACCGACCAGCCAGAUUGGGACUGAGACACGGCCCAGACUCCUACGGGAGGCAGCAGUGGGGAAUCUUGCACAAUGGGCGAAAGCCUGAUGCAGCGACGCCGCGUGCGGGAUGAAGGCCUUCGGGUUGUAAACCGCUUUCAGCAGGGACGAGGCGAAAGUGACGGUACCUGCAGAAGAAGCCCCGGCUAACUACGUG
rnacentral:rRNA from 1 species